CGACACAGCAUGAUGCACACAUUUUUGAGUGCCUAUAUUUAUACUAUCAUU
rnacentral:rRNA from 1 species